CGCGGAGUGGAGCAGCUUGGUAGCUCGCGAGGCUCAUAACCUCGAGGUCACGGGUUCAAAUCCCGUCUCCGCAA
rnacentral:tRNA from 2 species